rnacentral:rRNA from 1 species
UACAGAGGGGGCAAGCGUUGUUCGGAAUUACUGGGCGUAAAGAGCGUGUAGGCGGCUCGAUAAGUCUGCUGUGAAAGUCCAGGGCUCAACCCUGGAAGGCCGGUGGAAACUGUCGGGCUAGAGUCCGGAAGAGGCGAGUGGAAUUCCCGGUGUAGCGAUGAAAUGCGCAGAUAUCGGGAGGAACACCAAUGGCGAAGGCAGCUCGCUGGGACGGUACUGACGCUGAGACGCGAAAGCGUGGGGAGCGAACAGG